rnacentral:rRNA from 1 species
UACCAGCACCCCGAGUGGUCGGGACGUUUAUUGGGCCUAAAGCAUCCGUAGCCGGUUCUACAAGUCUUUCCGUUAAAUCCACCUGCUUAACAGAUGGGCUGCGGAAGAUACUAUAGAGCUAGGAGGCGGGAGAGGCAAGCGGGUACUCGAUGGGUAGGGGUAAAAUCCGUUGAUCCAUUGAAGACCACCAGUGGCGAAGGCGGCUUGCCAGAACGCGCUCGACGGUGAGGAUGAAAGCUGGGGGAGCAAACCGG